rnacentral:tRNA from 1 species
GCUCCCGUAGUUAAAUGGUAUAACAGUAACUUGGUAAGUUACAAUUCUGGGUUCGAUUCCCGGCGGGAGCU